rnacentral:sRNA from 1 species
ACAUAGCCCUGAUGGUAGCGGCAUCCUUUUUUUGCUUUUGACUUAAUUUCUUUUUGAUGACAAAUCUUCCUAAGCAAAAAAAGAUAUAGCGGACAGAGAGUUGGA